AACUAUUUGGUGCAGACUUGGGUUGUUAAUAGCUAUCCUUUGACUACUUUGUGAUUCCCCUUGAUUUUUAAAAGAAUUUAGUUUCCUAUAUAACAACCAAGUUGGAACAAAGACUACCUAAAGGAAUGACUGGAGGCAGAAAAAGCAAUGUGUUGGAAGUUUGGAAAACAACACAUAGAUCAAGCUUCCAUGUGACAGAUUUCCUAACAGCUGUGAUGUUUGCUAAGGAAAUUCUGCUGGGAGCCCCAGAUACUGAAUUCAAAAUAAAAUCAGUGCAAGAACAUUGCUCACUGCAGAGUGUCUGUGCUGUUGUCAUUACAUAAGUAAGAUGAGCCAUGAACAUAGUUUUAGAGCGUAA
rnacentral:lncRNA from 1 species